rnacentral:rRNA from 1 species
GAUGAACGCUGGCGGCGUGCCUAAUACAUGCAAGUCGAGCGAACAGACGAGGAGCUUGCUCCUCUGACGUUAGCGGCGGACGGGUGAGUAACACGUGGAUAACCUACCUAUAAGACUGGGAUAACUUCGGGAAACCGGAGCUAAUACCGGAUAACAUGUUGAACCGCAUGGUUCAACAGUGAAAGACGGUUUUGCUGUCACUUAUAGAUGGAUCCGCGCCGCAUUAGCUAGUUGGUAAGGUAACGGCUUACCAAGGCAACGAUGCGUAGCCGACCUGAGAGGGUGAUCGGCCACACUGGAACUGAGACACGGUCCAGACUCCUACGGGAGGCAGCAGUAGGGAAUCUUCCGCAAUGGGCGAAAGCCUGACGGAGCAACGCUGCGUGAGUGAAGAAGGUCUUCGGAUCGUAAAACUCUGUUAUUAGGGAAGAACAAAUGUGUAAGUAACUAUGCACGUCUUGACGGUACCUAAUCAGAAAGCCACGGCUAACUACGUG